rnacentral:rRNA from 1 species
AAGGAUUCCCUUAGUAGCGGCGAGCGAACAGGGAAGAGCCCAGCACCGAAUCCCGCGGCCGACAACGGACGCAGGGAAAUGUGGUGUUCGGGAGGACCCGCUAUCCCGGGGCGGUCAGGCAAGUCCAAGUCCUUCUUGAACGGGGCCACUUACCCACAGAGGGUGCCAGGCCCGUAGGACGGCCGACCGUUACGGGAGGGUCUCUCCCUAGAGUCGGGUUGCUUGAGAGUGCAGCCCUAAGUGGGUGGUAAACUCCAUCUAAGGCUAAAUACUACCACGAGACCGAUAGCGAACAAGUACCGUGAGGGAAAGUUGAAAAGCACUUUGAAGAGAGAGUUCAAUAGUACGUGAAACCGUUCAGGGGUAAACCUGAGAAACCCGAAAGGUCGAAGGGGGAGAUUCAACCGCGUCUCGGUCGUAAGCGGCAGGGGUGCGUGCGCGACGCUCCGGUAACUCGGUCUCGGCCGGGUCCGGGUGCGCGCCGUGCCCGUCGAACGGCCGAAUGCGUGCACUUCUCCCCUUGUAGGACGUCGCGACCCGUCGGGUGCGGGUCUAAGGGGCAGCGUGGGCAGACCCGUCGGUCGGAYCGCAAGGUUCGGUCCUUCGGGACCCGUUGCCGCCCGGCCCGCCCGCUCGACGGUAGACAUUGAGGCGCGGGGCCGCGAAACUUUUCGCGUCCGGCCCGCGGCGAGCGCGCUCGGUAACUCGUGCGCCGGACCUGGUGCCGGCGCCGGGCCCGUCGCCGCUGUCAGCCGCGGUGUCCUCGGACAGAGCCCCCUCAGCGCCGGUCGGCGACGCCGUAGCUUUGGGUACUUUCAGGACCCGUCUUGAAACACGGACCAAGGAGUCUAGCAUGUGCGCGAGUCAUUGGGACCGCACUAAACCUAAAGGCAAAAUGAAAGUGAAGGACGGCCUCGCGCCGUCCGAGGGGGGAUGUGUUGGGUGUCCGUAAGGUUCCGCCCGCAUCGCACCCCCGGGGCGUCUCGUUCUCAUUGCGAGAUGAGGCGCACCCAGAGCGUACACGCUGGGACCCGAAAGAUGGUGAACUAUGCCUGGUCAGGACGAAGUCAGGGGAAACCCUGAUGGAGGUCCGUAGCGAUUCUGACGUGCAAAUCGAUCGUCGGAACUGGGUAUAGGGGCGAAAGACUAAUCGAACCAUCUAGUAGCUGGUUCCCUCCGAAGUUUCCCUCAGGAUAGCUGGCGCUCGCCUCUGGCGAGUCUCAUCCGGUAAAGCGAAUGAUUAGAGGCAUUGGGGUCGAAACGGCCUCAACCUAUUCUCAAACUUUAAAUGGGUGAGAUCUCCGGCUUGCUUAACCGCUGAAGCCGCGAGAUUUCGGAUCAGAGUGCCAAGUGGGCCAUUUUUG